rnacentral:rRNA from 1 species
UACAGAGGUCUCGAGCGUUGUUCGGAUUCAUUGGGCGUAAAGGGUGCGUAGGUGGCGUGGUAAGUCAGAUGUGAAAGCCCCGGGCUCAACCUGGGAAUUGCAUUUGAGACUGCGUAGCUAGGGUGCGGAAGAGGGAAGCGGAAUUUCCGGUGUAGCGGUGAAAUGCGUAGAUAUCGGAAGGAACACCAGUGGCGAAAGCGGCUUCCUGGUCCAGCACCGACGUCAGGCACGAAAGCGUGGGGAGCAAACAGG